UGCGUAGGGGGCUAGCGUUGUCCGGAAUCAUUGGGCGUAAAGCGCGUGUAGGCGGUCCGGUAAGUCCGCUGUGAAAGUCGGGGGCUCAACCCUCGGAUGCCGGUGGAUACUGUCGGGCUUGAGUACGGAAGAGGCGAGUGGAAUUCCUGGUGUAGCGGUGAAAUGCGCAGAUAUCAAGAGGAACACUUGAGGUGAAGACGGGUUGCUGGGCUGACACUGACGCUGAGGCGCGAAAGCCAGGGGAGCAAACGGG
rnacentral:rRNA from 1 species